GUCUAAUAUUCCUAGAGAUAGCUCAGUUGGUAAAGCAUGAGACUCUUAACCUCAGUGUCCUGGGUUCGAAUCCCACAUUGGGCA